AUUGAACGCUGGCGGCAGGCCUAACACAUGCAAGUCGAGCGGAGCUACCGACGGGUGGGUAAUUCCUAGGAAUCUGCCUGAUCUUGGGGGAUAACGUACGGUAACGGGCGCUAAUAUCGCACACUACCAGCUGAGCCUAGGUCGGAUUCGCUAGUUGGUUGGGUAACGGCCUACCAAGGCGACGAUCCAUAUCUGGUCUGAGAGGAUGAUCAGUCACACUGGAACUGAGACACGGUCCAGACUCCUACGGGAGGCAGCAGUGGGGAAUAUUGGACAAUGGGCGAAAGCCUGAUCCAGCCAUGCCGCGUGUGUGAAGAAGGUCUUCGGAUCGUAAAGCACUGUUAGUUGGGAGGCGGUACCUAAAGAAUAAGCCACGGCUAACUACGUGCCAGCAGCCGCGGUAAUAC
rnacentral:rRNA from 1 species